GUUUAAGCAUCUGCGCACAAAAGGAAGUGGCACUGUAGCAUUAGCAAUAUUGUUAGCUGGUGUAAGCGACUGAAAGUCUGUGAAAAUCGCUAACAUGCUAGUUCUCCUCACAGACUUCCAUUGAUUGUGCUGAUUGUAGCUUCACGAAACAACCUCUUAUACUUCCUCCACGCAGAGAUGGCACCACUGCACAAAUUGGGAUGGAUUGCAAAAGCUCCGACAUCCCAUUAACUUGACACAGAUGAUGGUGACGAGAGCGGUCUACGACAGGGCCUCAAAAAACAUUUAGGACGGCUUCCUGAGUCACAUUUUCCACGUUGUGUUCCAGGGCAUGCAGCUAUUACCUUUGGUCUGCUCUGCUCCUCGUCGCCGCUGCUCUCCGGUAGGAAGCGUCCUGAGACCGCAGGGGAUGGAUGACCUGUCAUCAGGCGAUACAGUUAUUCUCCCCUCCUCUCCGGAUCUCGCAAUGAGCUGUAAUGGACUGGAAGGAAGAGCAACAGGAACAAUGGCCGUGACCUUUGAGUUGUGUCCAUGGGUUACCGCUUGUACUGUUGGCCCGGGGCGACCUCAGCCUUGACCUCUGGGGGAUGACGGCUGAUGUGAAGGACCAUUGGACCUUCUGACCUCCAGAGGAAGAGGUGAAGGAUCUAGGCUGUGACGUUACUAUGAAUCCUGGGAGAAACUGUCAAUGUAAACUUUUUGAUGUAUCUUGUGGAGACACGUUUUUUUGUAUUUUUUUUAAAGUGUUUUAAAGGACAAAAUUUCACCCUGAGUAAAUAGGAGACAGAAACACAAUUUGGAUUUCCUCAUGGGUGGCAAAUGUUCUUAUUUAUAUGGAAAGCUUUU
ensembl:lncRNA